GGAGAGGCAGUCCAACGGCACAUGCCUGCCAUGAUGGAAGUGCCUUCCGCCAUGUCUUCCCCUCGAAGAUGGGCUUUAUCCUCCAAAUGGGAAGCCAAAGAAACCCCUUAAGCUCCUUCUUGUCAGGAAUCAGAUCCCCAUGACCACUAACAGCAACAACUCAGAAGGCAGAGUGUACGUGCAGAAAGCUCUAAGAGACUCCUACAGUUGUCAAGACAUAGUGCAGUUCCAACAAACCCACGUGGGCCCAGAAUCAACCGGCUCUCUUCCGUUACUACUGUUAAAACUCUAAUACACUGAAGCCCAAGCGAGAUGACUCUUCAGCCUCUCCAGCUAGGAGGAAGAGUGCCAGGGACCCUGUGUUCUAUCAUUUAGGAAGGCCUGAGUAAGCUAACUCUCAUCAAAUCAAGCAUUUUCAUGAUUUCUCAUCUCUACACCCUCAAAUUCUCCCCAGAGUAACUUGUAAACUCCUCGAUCCAGUGCUGUUGUCAAUAAAUGCAUCGAGAGUCCUGGAGCGCAGGACCUCAGCAGCCCCCAGUGUGAUCCACUCCCUCUGCUGGGCUUCUCUGGUGUCAUCCUUCACAAUAGAGGUCCUCUGAGGGAGACCCUCUCACCUGCCCUUCCUCUGCACACCCACUGUUUUCCAUCAUGACUCCAUCCCAUGUCAUUCCGUCAUCAGCCUGUGUUCCUUGCUUGGACAGUCCUGGCACUGACAGAUUCAUGUAUAUCCACAGUUUCCUAAUAAUACACUAGUCUUUGUUUGUACAUUUGAAAGAGAACAGAAAUCCAGAGUGUCUAAUACAAAACAUGUGAUCACUCUUUGCACUGGGUUCUCUUGCCAAUCACUGUUGCCUCUGCAAAUAUAAAAUUAAUAACAAUAACUCCCACAAACAUGUGCUUCUUGUUUAUUAUAUCCCAAACUAUAGACAAGACGCGCACCUUCUGU
rnacentral:lncRNA from 1 species